GAAAUUUUUCUUAUGCCAAGGAUUGAUUUCAAAGAAGGAAUGGUUUAAUGAAAAAUGCCACCACCACCACCAUCACCGAAUAAAGAAAAAAAUAAAGGAAAUGAAAAAAAAGGAAACAGACUGGUUAUAUUUAUUGUACGCACUCUAUGAUUAUUUUCUUAUUACAAGGAUUUAGAUUAUAAAAGUAGAAAAGAAAUGCCCCCAAAAAUGCAA
rnacentral:lncRNA from 1 species